GGGGAUUUAGCUCAGCGGCAUAAGCACCUGCCUUGGACGCAGGCGGUCAUGAGUUCAAUCCCCG
rfam:Cavia porcellus supercont2_15 genomic scaffold, whole genome shotgun sequence.